GGCAGAGGUUGGCAUUCGGUCCCAGAAUGCUAAUGGUUAGGGAGGGCACUAUAGAUGGGCACAGAGCACAGUCUCUCGAGCCAGCUAGGCUGCGGGAUCAGGGUUAUAAAUCCUUGCCAAGAAGAUCAUGGAAGGCAUGAGGUUCUCAUAAAUCAUCAUCAGGAAGGACAAAAUGUGAUCAGCCAGCUUCCUGCUCUGACUAUCUGCUGUCACACCUUCCCUUUUAAGGACUGUCUCUCUGGAACUAACAGACUCCAGCAAACUCUUCUAUGGCUGUGAGACCUUAGAGAGAAGGUUCUGGUCAGAUCCAGGAUGCCUAUGGGUCUGAUGGAUGUCCCAGCACUUGGUCAAUAUGCAGGACAUGUCCGGUAUAAACCAUGCUUCGAUGAGACGAGAUGCGGGUGAGGUCACCAUGCUCUUCAAAGAUUUUGCUGAUGCCCAGGCGGGACAGAACCUUCUUCAUGUUGUAAGUAGCCGAGAUGUGGAGCCUGGGCACCCACACAUCUACCACUCUGUGGAGGAGAGAAGGACUGGGAUGAAGAAAAGUGUUCUCUGAUCAUCCAGGGUGGGUUCCUGGAAAGACGGUGGGUGAGACUUUUAUCCUCCCUGCAUCGAGCCUCAUGAGUCUUUCUGUCCUCAGAGUAGGAGAGGUUCAACUCUUGGAUUCAAGGUGCCUCAUAGUCUCUGACUACAUCCUGCUUCCUACCCAACUUCCUACAGAGCCCAUAUCCACUAGAAACAUCCUCAGGCUCCUUCCCCAUGUUUAUGACCUCCCCACAGCACACUGAGCUGUGCUGUACCCUGAGUCAGAUUAAAGCCCUGCAAGCCUG